rnacentral:rRNA from 1 species
UACGGAGGGUGCAAGCGUUAAUCGGAAUUACUGGGCGUAAAGCGCACGCAGGUGGCUGAGUCAGUCGAUUGUGAAAGCCCUGGGCUUAACCUGGGAAUUGCAGUCGAUACUACUCAGCUAGAGUAUGGGAGAGGGCAGUGGAAUUCCCGGUGUAGCGGUGAAAUGCGUAGAUAUCGUGAGGAACACCAGAGGCGAAGGCGGCUACCUGGACAAUUGCUGACGCUCAGGCACGAAAGCGUGGGGAGCAAAAGGGAGUAG